rnacentral:rRNA from 1 species
AUGACUAGGGAUAACCUUAGGAAGAGACACAUCAUCAAACCCCUUGAUUGUGUUUAUUGCUUGGAACAAGAGUCUUGUUCUCACCUAUUUUUUGAAUGUAUAGUUGCUAAACAUCUCUGGGCCCACAUUGAGGAAUAUUUCUCUAGUCAGAUUGGCUCAUCCUUCGAAUCUGUCGCCAGAUUCUGGAUUGCUACCAAAAAGUGCUCAGUUUUAAACAUUGUUAGCUCAGCUGUCCUUUGGUGCCUCUGGAAAUAUAGAAAUGCUAUGAUUUUCAGUAACACCUCCUGGAUUUCCAUUCCGCGGGUCUUGAGGUUGAUCAGGAACAUGGUGAGGAACUGGGCGAUUCUCUCCUCCGGAUCGGACAAGGACAAGUUGAUGAGCUUCGUGGAAACCCUAACAAGAUCCCUCCAGAAAACGUUGGCGAUCACUUGUGGCUGGACAAGGCUCGACCUGCUCUGGGGCUGGACCCGUGGGCUCGUCUCAAGAUCUCUGAUGAAGAUGAUGGGCACUUGGCGCCGAAAAAGAGGGACAUCCACCAUGUUACGCCUUCUAGCCCGGUCUCUCCGCUUGCUUACUGGUCGCCGCAGGCUGACACGGCCCCUCGGCUGA